UAUUUGAUAUCUUAAAGUAAGAAUUGAUUUUUUAAAUCAAAUAAUAGUAUGCUAACAUAUACUUCAAAUAA
rnacentral:tRNA from 1 species